UUGUGAAGAAGACGUGGACUUUAUCAAUUAUGCAGUCGUGGGGCAGCAUGAAUGUAGCAAUACAUUUGAUGGCGACCGGCAAACGGGUGCGGAACACGUACACAACCUUCCUAUAAGUGGGGAAUAGCCCAGAGAAAUUUGGAUUAAUACCCCGUAACAUAACGAUGUGGCAUCACAUUGUUAUUAUAGCUUCGGCGCUUAUUGAUGGGUGUGCGGCUGAUUAGAUAGUUGGCGGGGUAACGGCCCACCAAGUCUACGAUCAGUAGCUGAUGUGAGAGCAUGAUCAGCCACACGGGCACUGAGACACGGGCCCGACUCCUACGGGAAGGCAGCAGUUAAGGAUUAUUGUUCAUUGACCGCAAGCUCUGAACAGGCCAUGGCCGCCGUUGAAAGAAUAUAAGGUCCCUCUGAAUUGAAAACUUCUUUAUAUCUGGGAGCAGACAGAAAAGAGGGCUAUUUCUUCGUCACUUGACGGUACCAGAUGAAUAAGCACCGGCUAACUCCGUGCCAGCAGCCGCGGGUAAUACGGAGGGGUGCAAGCGUUAUCCGGAUCCGGAUGUCACUGGGUUUAAAGGGUGCGUAGGCGGGCAGGUAAGUCAGUGGUGAAAUCCUGGAGCUUAACUCCAGAACUGCCAUUGAUACUAUCUGUCUUGAUAUUGUGGAGGUAAGCGGAAUAUGUCAUGUAGCGGUGAAAUGCUUAGAUAUGACAUAGAACACCUAUUGCGAAGGCAGCUUACUGCGCAUAUUAUUGACGCUGAGGCACGAAAGCGUGGGGGAUCAAAACAGGAUUAGAUACCUGGUAGUCCACGCCCUAAACGAUGGAUACUCGACAUAACGGCG
rnacentral:rRNA from 1 species